UACAGAGGGUGCAAGCGUUAAUCGGAAUUACUGGGCGUAAAGGGCGCGUAGGCGGUUGAAUAAGUUAGAUGUGAAAUCCCCGAGCUUAACUUGGGAACUGCAUCUAAUACUGUACAGCUAGAGUAGAAUAGAGGGGAGUGGAAUUUCCGGUGUAGCGGUGAAAUGCGUAGAUAUCGGAAAGAACACCAGUGGCGAAGGCGACUUCCUGGAUUCAUACUGACGCUGAGGCGCGAAAGCAUGGGGAGCAAACAGG
rnacentral:rRNA from 1 species